UGGUUUAAUUCGAAGCAACGCGAAGAACCUUACCAAAUCUUGACAUCCUUUGACAACUCUAGAGAUAGAGCUUUCCCCUUCGGGGGACAAAGUGACAGGUGGUGCAUGGUUGUCGUCAGCUCGUGUCGUGAGAUGUUGGGUUAAAGUCCCGCAACGAGCGCAACCCUUAAGCUUAGUUGCCAUCAUUAAGUUGGGCACUCUAAGUUGACUGCCGGUGACAAACCGGA
rnacentral:rRNA from 1 species